rnacentral:rRNA from 1 species
CCUACGGGGGGCUGCAGUGGGGAAUAUUGGACAAUGGGGGGAACCCUGAUCCAGCCAUGCCGCGUGUGUGAAGAAGGCCCUCGGGUUGUAAAGCACUUUCAGUGAGGAAGAACGCCUGGUGGUUAAUACCCAUCAGGAAAGACAUCACUCACAGAAGAAGCACCGGCUAACUCCGUGCCAGCAGCCGCGGUAAUACGGAGGGUGCGAGCGUUAAUCGGAAUUACUGGGCGUAAAGCGCGCGUAGGUGGCUUGAUAAGCCGGUUGUGAAAGCCCCGGGCUCAACCUGGGAACGGCAUCCGGAACUGUCAAGCUAGAGUGCGGGAGAGGAAGGUAGAAUUCCCGGUGUAGCGGUGAAAUGCGUAGAGAUCAGGAGGAAUACCAGUGGCGAAGGCGGCCUUCUGGACUGACACUGACACUGAGGUGCGAAAGCGUGGGUAGCAAACAGGAUUAGAUACCCCUGUAGUC